rnacentral:rRNA from 1 species
CAGCCGUAAACUAUGCGCGUUAGGUGUAUCGGUGACCACGAGUUACCGAGGUGCCGAAGGGAAACCGUGAAACGUGCCGCCUGGGAAGUACGGUCGCAAGGCUGAAACUUAAAGGAAUUGGCGGGGGAGCACCACGACAGGUGGAGCCUGCGGUUUAAUUGGACUCAACGCCGGGAAGCUCACCGGAUAGGACAGCAGAAUGAUUGCCGGGCUGAAGACCCUGCAUGACUAGCUGAGAGGAGGUGCAUGGCGUAGACGUCU